GGGUGUGUAGCUCAGUGGUAGAACACAUGCUUAGCAUGCACGAGGUCCUGGGUUCAAUCCCCAGUGCCUCCA
rnacentral:tRNA from 1 species